UAGGGAAUCUUCCGCAAUGGACGAAAGUCUGACGGAGCAACGCCGCGUGAGUGAAGAAGGAUUUCGGUUCGUAAAACUCUGUUGUUAGGGAAGAAAAAAUGUAUAGUAACUAUAUACAAAAGAGACGGUACCUAACCAGAAAGCCACGGCUAACUACGUGCCAGCAGCCGCGGUAAUACGUAGGUGGCAAGCGUUGUCCGGAAUUAUUGGGCGUAAAGCGCGCGCAGGUGGUUUAGAAAGUCUGAUGUGAAAGCCCACGGCUCAACCGUGGAGGGUCAUUGGAAACUAAUAAACUUGAGUGCAGGAGAGAAGAGUGGAAUUCCUAGUGUAGCGGUGAAAUGCGUAGAGAUUAGGAGGAACACCGGUGGCGAAAGCGGCUUUUUGGCCUGCAACUGACACUGAGGCACGAAAGCGUGGGGAGCAAACAGG
rnacentral:rRNA from 1 species